AUGGAUUAAGAGCUUGCUCUUAUGAAGUUAGCGGCGGACGGGUGAGUAACACGUGGGUAACCUACCCAUAAGACUGGGAUAACUCCGGGAAACCGGGGCUAAUACCGGAUAAUAUUUUGAACUGCAUAGUUCGAAAUUGAAAGGCGGCUUCGGCUGUCACUUAUGGAUGGACCCGCGUCGCAUUAGCUAGUUGGUGAGGUAACGGCUCACCAAGGCGACGAUGCGUAGCCGACCUGAGAGGGUGAUCGGCCACACUGGGACUGAGACACGGCCCAGACUCCUACGGGAGGCAGCAGUAGGGAAUCUUCCGCAAUGGACGAAAGUCUGACGGAGCAACGCCGCGUGAGUGAUGAAGGCUUUCGGGUCGUAAAACUCUGUUGUUAGGGAAGAACAAGUGCUAGUUGAAUAAGCUGGCACCUUGACGGUACCUAACCAGAAAGCCACGGCUAACUACGUGCCAGCAGCCGCGGUAAUACGUAGGUGGCAAGCGUUAUCCGGAAUUAUUGGGCGUAAAGCGCGCGCAGGUGGUUUCUUAAGUCUGAUGUGAAAGCCCACGGCUCAACCGUGGAGGGUCAUUGGAAACUGGGAGACUUGAGUGCAGAAGAGGAAAGUGGAAUUCCAUGUGUAGCGGUGAAAUGCGUAGAGAUAUGGAGGA
rnacentral:rRNA from 1 species